GGCGUAGUGGUUAACGCGCCCCAACUAGAGAUCGGGGAGUCGUGAGUUCGAUUCUCAC
rnacentral:tRNA from 1 species